rnacentral:rRNA from 1 species
UACGGAGGGUGCGAGCGUUAAUCGGAAUUACUGGGCGUAAAGCGCACGCAGGCGGUUUGUUAAGCUAGAUGUGAAAGCCCCGGGCUCAACCUGGGAUGGUCAUUUAGAACUGGCAGACUAGAGUCUUGGAGAGGGGAGUGGAAUUCCAGGUGUAGCGGUGAAAUGCGUAGAUAUCUGGAGAAACAUCAGUGGCGAAGGCGACUCCCUGGCCAAAGACUGACGCUCAUGUGCGAAAGUGUGGGUAGCGAACAGG